AGAGUUUGAUCAUGGCUCAGGAUGAACGCUAGCUACAGGCUUAACACAUGCAAGUCGAGGGGCAGCAUGAAGAUGUGCUUGCACAACUUUGAUGGCGACCGGCGCACGGGUGAGUAACGCGUAUCCAACCUUCCCUAUAGUAGAGAAUAGCCCGGCGAAAGUCGGAUUAAUGCUCUAUGUUCUUCUUUGAUGGCAUCUGAGGAGAAGCAAAGGUUCACCGCUAUAGGAUGGGGAUGCGUCUGAUUAGGUAGUCGGCGGGGUAACGGCCCACCGAGCCAACGAUCAGUAGGGGUUCUGAGAGGAAGGUCCCCCACAUUGGUACUGAGCCAGGAUCAAACUC
rnacentral:rRNA from 1 species